rnacentral:rRNA from 1 species
UACGGGGGGAGCAAGCGUUGUUCGGAUUUACUGGGCGUAAAGGGCGGGUAGGCGGCCACCGCAAGUCGACUGUGAAAUCUCCGGGCUUAACCCGGAAAGGUCAGCCGAUACUGCGGGGCUAGAGUGCAGAAGGGGCAACUGGAAUUCUUGGUGUAGCGGUGAAAUGCGUAGAUAUCUGGAGGAACACCGGUGGCGAAGGCGGCAUCCUGGACCGGCACUGACGCUGAGGCGCGAAAGCGUGGGGAGCAAACAGG